GAUGAACGCUGGCGGCGUGCCUAAUACAUGCAAGUCGAGCGAACAGAUGAGGAGCUUGCUCCUCUGACGUUAGCGGCGGACGGGUGAGUAACACGUGGAUAACCUACCUAUAAGACUGGGAUAACUUCGGGAAACCGGAGCUAAUACCGGAUAAUAUAUUGAACCGCAUGGUUCAAUAGUGAAAGACGGUUUUGCUGUCACUUAUAGAUGGAUCCGCGCCGCAUUAGCUAGUUGGUAAGGUAACGGCUUACCAAGGCGACGAUGCGUAGCCUACCUGAGAGGGUGAUCGGCCACACUGGAACUGAGACACGGUCCAGACUCCUACGGGAGGCAGCAGUAGGGAAUCUUCCGCAAUGGGCGAAAGCCUGACGGAGCAACGCCGCGUGAGUGAUGAAGGUCUUCGGAUCGUAAAACUCUGUUAUUAGGGAAGAACAAAUGUGUAAGUAACUAUGCACGUCUUGACGGUACCUAAUCAGAAAGCCACGGCUAACUACGUG
rnacentral:rRNA from 1 species